rnacentral:misc_RNA from 1 species
GUAGGUGAACCUGCGGAAGGAUCAUUACCGAGAGAGGGUCCCUUUGGGGCCCGACCCUCCCAUCCCCUGUGUAUGUACCUCUGUUGCUUCGGCGGGCCCGUGGGUCCCUUUGGGGCUCACCACCGGCGUCGGUCGGUCCGCGCCCGCCAGAGGCCCUUAUCAAACCCGAUUGUGCCAGUGAGGUCUGAGUGCAACGUAAUACAGUAAAACUUUCAACAACGGAUCUCUUGGUUCUGGCAUCGAUGAAGAA